UGACUUUCCUUUGAUGGUAUACAGACCAAACGGCUAUUUGUCUUAUGGCUUUUCCUUAAAUUUUUGGGAGGAUCCUUAGGAAUCGGUCAGCCAACAAGAGACUGAAGCUACAGCUGACCACACUGGCUGACAACUGAACAUCUUGAAUCUUAGCUCUUGAGCUUUACUAUGCAGAAGAAGAAAAAACCUAAACGCUAAGACCUGGAACUCUCAACAAUAAGGAAUAAGAUGCCUUGACCACUUUCUUUUACUGCUAUGUGAGAAAUUAGUUAGAAGCAAGGUACAUCUACAGCCAACAUGGCCAGAAGAUGGGGAGGGCCUAAUUGCUAUUUCGUUCUUUUUCAUUCGGAAAGCGGUAUUCUUCAGGGUAACAGAGUUGGUGGAGGUGCAUUAUGGAAACUCUGACAACAUAGUUAUUCCACUGCAGAUAGUUAUUCCACUGCAGUGUAGGUGCAGAUGUAUUACUGGAGCUCCAGCCACCUAGUAACUUCCCUGCCAAGUAGAAGAUUGUGUAUUAAGGGAGUCCUGACAACCUAGUAACUUCCUGCAGAGUUGGUGCAUUAUGGAAACUCUGACAACAUAGUUAUUCCACUGCAGAUAGUUAUUCCACUGCAGAUAGUUAUUCCACUGCAGUGUAGGUGCAGAUGUAUUACAGGAGCUCCAGCCACCUAGUAACUUCCCUGCCAAGUAGAAGAUUGUGUAUUAAGGGAGUCCUGACAACCUAGUAACUUCCUGCAGAGUUGGUGCAUUAUGGAAACUCUGACAACAUAGUUAUUCCACUGCAGAUAGUUAUUCCACUGCAGAUAGUUAUUCCACUGCAGUGUAGGUGCAGAUGUAUUACAGGAGCUCCAGCCACCUAGUAACUUCCCUGCCAAGUAGAAGAUUGUGUAUUAAGGGAGUCCUGACAACCUAGUAACUUCCUGCAGAGUUGGUGCAUUAUGGAAACUCUGACAACCUAGUUUCUUUACUGUGGUUGUUUUUAUUUUAAUUUUUUAUUUACCUCAGAUGUUGAGUGAAACAUAGAUUUUUGUGGACAUAAAACAAAAUAAUAUUCGAACUACCAUUAAAAAUGGUAAAUUGUUUUGUUUUCCAGUCAAAUACAUAUUGGUUGAGAAUGAAACAAGUCCUUAUAGUAAUGGCUGGCAGCAAAUUAUCUCUCCAGAGAAGUACUAGACCAGAAGAUGUUCUGUGGUGGUCUGAUGUCGCAGGGAUAUUGGGCGAGAUUUAUCAAAACUAGUGUAAAGUAGAACUGGUUUAGUUGCCACAACCAAUCAGAUUUCACCUUUCAUUUUUCACAGCUCCUUUAGAAAAUGAAAGGCGGAAUCUGAUUAGUUGCUAUGGGCAGCUAAGCCAGUUUUCCUUUACACCAGUUUUGAUAAAUCUCUCCAAAUAACUAUAUAUAUAUAUAUAUAGCCACUAUUCAACAUGUAGACAUUGAUGUGGAUGGUUUUCACAUUUUACUGUACAAUAAACUGGCUUUUCCAACUUUG